CUGAUGACUAAGUGAUGUACCACAGAUUUCUUUAACCACUGGCAAACCACAUUUCCUUUUCCAGGGUAAUAAGUUAAAAGAAUAUUUGCCUCCCUUUUUUACAGAGGGAGAAAAGACUUCUUCCUCAUCGGAGGGCAGCUGGGACCAGUUGUCUGAGGGAGAUCAUUAAGCCUGAAGGAUUGAGAGCACAGAGCCGGGAAGAGCUGGGGCUCCCUCACCUUCCGGCAGUUGCAGGCACUGGCACCCUGAGAGGUGAAUUAACUUCCUCAUCUGAGCCUCAGGAACGUUCUCAGACACAGCCCUGUGACAUUUUCUCUUGGCGAGCAAGGUGGGAGGUAAAAGAAACAUCAGCAUUGACUGGUAAGUGUGCCGCAGGCUUUUCAUGUUCUUCUUCCAUACCAUCCUCAACCCUUUGCACUCUGAAGCAUAAUCUUUUUUUUUUUUCUGCCUCCUUUUUCCCUCUUCCUGUCUAUAAACUUCUGCAGCCUUACAUUGUUUUGGUUUUGUUUUCAGUAACUAGAAGCUUCAAGUCCCCCAGAAAAUAAGUAUUCGCUGGGGAUUUAGCUCAGUGGUUCUGGCGCCUGCUGCGCAAACGCAAGGUCCUGAGUUCGAUCCCUG
rnacentral:lncRNA from 1 species